rnacentral:rRNA from 1 species
UACGGAGGGUGCAAGCGUUAUCCGGAUUUACUGGGUUUAAAGGGUGCGUAGGUGAGUAAGUAAGUCAGUGGUGAAAUCUUCGAGCUUAACUCGGAAACUGCCAUUGAUACUAUUUAUCUUGAAUACUUUGGAGGUAAGCGGAAUAUGUCAUGUAGCGGUGAAAUGCUUAGAUAUGACAUAGAACACCAAUUGCGAAGGCAGCUUACUACACAGUUAUUGACACUGAGGCACGAAAGCGUGGGGAUCAAACAGG